CUUCCCGCUUCCCCUCCUUUCUUUUUUUAUCCGCUUCCUUCGCCUCCCUUUCCAACCAGUAGCUGUCAAUAGCCACAGGGUCUCGCCAAAUCCUGCCAUAGACAGCCAUGAGUCAACGGAGGGGCAGCUAGUGUCUCCCUCCUCUCUUCAAUGUGAUGAUGUCUUUAUACUCGCUUCUCCCAGUAACUCUGAAUGGCCACUCGUCCUCAGCGUUGCUCCGGAGAGGCAGUGCACGUGGGGGUCCAUUCACCAUGAGUGGAUGAGGCUACUCUGUGACCUAAAGGACCAUUCUGAAACACUUCUGCUCCGCACCUACUCUACAUUCAGAAAGGAAUGAUAACAAUAAGGAUGACGACGACGAUAACGAGGCUGACGAUGAUGACAGCGAUGUAUACGGCGGCAGUGAGAGAUACCAGAUGUUGAUAAGGACGAGGACAGCACUGUGAUAAGAACUCACUUUUUUCUCUCUUUUUUUUUCGGUACAUUUAAUAUAUUGAGUUUAAAAGCCUCGCGAUGACUCACUCUCCUUAUCUCUGAGUGUUACAUAAAGCUUAUCUCUCCCCGCCAUGCUCCGCCAGGCUGAUUACAAAAGGGAAUAUAUUAAAACGACAAAAAAUAA